CCUACGGGUGGCAGCAGUGGGGAAUAUUGGACAAUGGGGGGAACCCUGAUCCAGCCAUGCCGCGUGUGUGAAGAAGGCCCUCGGGUUGUAAAGCACUUUCAGUGAGGAAGAACGCCUGGUGGUUAAUACCCAUCAGGAAAGACAUCACUCACAGAAGAAGCACCGGCUAACUCCGUGCCAGCAGCCGCGGUAAUACGGAGGGUGCGAGCGUUAAUCGGAAUUACUGGGCGUAAAGCGCGCGUAGGUGGCUUGAUAAGCCGGUUGUGAAAGCCCCGGGCUCAACCUGGGAACGGCAUCCGGAACUGUCAAGCUAGAGUGCAGGAGAGGAAGGUAGAAUUCCCGGUGUAGCGGUGAAAUGCGUAGAGAUCGGGAGGAAUACCAGUGGCGAAGGCGGCCUUCUGGACUGACACUGACACUGAGGUGCGAAAGCGUGGGUAGCAAACAGGAUUAGAUACCCUCGUAGUC
rnacentral:rRNA from 1 species